rnacentral:siRNA from 1 species
UCCCGCCUUGCAUCAACUGAA